rnacentral:rRNA from 1 species
GACGAACGCUGGCGGCGUGCCUAAUACAUGCAAGUUGAGCGCUGAAGGUUGGUACUUGUACCAACUGGAUGAGCAGCGAACGGGUGAGUAACGCGUGGGGAAUCUGCCUUUGAGCGGGGGAAACAUUUUGGAAAGAAAGCUUAAUACGCAAUAAAAACUUUAAAACAAAUUUUUAGGUUGAAAAAUUCAAUUUUAUCCACCCAAGGUGAUUCCGCGUUGUAUUAGCUAGUUUGUGAGGGAAAGGCUCACCAAGGCGAUGAUACAUAGCCGACCUGAGAGGGUGAUCGGCCACAUUGGGACUGAGACACGGCCCAAACUCCUACGGGAGGCAGCAGUAGGGAAUCUUCGGCAAUGGACGAAAGUCUGACCGAGCAACGCCGCGUGAGUGAAGAAGGUUUUCGGAUCGUAAAACUCUGUUGGUAGAGAAGAACGUUGGUGAGAGUGGAAAGCUCAUCAAGUGACGGUAACUACCCAGAAAGGGACGGCUAACUACGUG